GUGGAUGUGGUGUAAUGGUAGCACGUCAGUCUGUGGCGCUGAAAGCGAGGGUUCGAUUCCCUCCUUCCACU
rnacentral:tRNA from 3 species